GAGUUAGUAGGUUGGUCAUGCCUCUGGUAUGUACUGGUCUCACUGAUUCCUCCUUCCUGAUGAGCCGUAAUGCCAUUAAUUUGGUGUUGCGGGGAAUUUGGACUGUUACUUUGAAAAAAUUAGAGUGUUCAAAGCAGGCGUAUGCUCGGAUACAUUAGCAUGGAAUAAUGAAAUAGGACGUUCGAUCCUAUUUUGUUGGUUUUAGGAUCAACGUA
rnacentral:rRNA from 1 species